GUAAGCUAUUAAGGGCGUAUGGCGGAUGCCUUGGCAUCAGGAGGCGAUGAAAGACGUGAUACACUGCGAUAAGCUUCGGGGAGCUGUGAAAUAAGCUUUGAUCCGGAGAUCUCUGAAUGGGGGAACCCAACUUCUUCGGAAGUUACUUUUAGGUGAAUUCAUAGCCUAUUAGAGCGAACGCAGGGAACUGAAACAUCUAAGUACCUGUAGGAAUAGAAAUCAAUUGAGAUACCGAAAGUAGUGGCGAGCGAAAUCGGUUAAGCCCAAACCGAGAGGAUUUAUCUUCUCGGGGUUGUGGGGCUACUCAUAACGGACCAUGAAGGCUAGUUGAACAUUCUGGAAAGGAUGACCAUAGAAAGUGAUAGUCUUGUAAGCGAAAGCUAGAGUGGCCAGAGUAGUACCCGAGUAGGGCGGGACACGUGUUAUCCUGUCUGAAUCUGGGAGGACCAUCUUCCAAGGCUAAAUACUACCUGAUGACCGAUAGUGAACAAGUACCGUGAGGGAAAGGUGAAAAGAACCCCGUUGAGGGGAGUGAAAUAGACCUGAAACCAUACGCCUACAAGCAGUCGGAGCAUUUUCGGAUGUGACGGCGUGCCUUUUGCAUAAUGAGCUAGCGAGUUAAUGAGACAAGCAAGGUUAAAAUGUUCAGCAUUGGAGCCGUAGUGAAAGCGAGCCUUAAUAGGGCGUUUAGUUUGUUUUAUUAGACCCGAAACCCAGUGAUCUAUCCAUGAGCAGGCUGAAGCUGGGGUAAAUCCUAGUGGAGGGCCGAACCCGUUGACGUUGAAAAGUCUUGGGAUGACUUGUGGAUCGGAGUGAAAGGCUAAUCAAACUGGGUGAUAGCUGGUUCUCCUCGAAAUAUAUUUAGGUAUAGCCUCGUGCGUUUCUUAACGGGGGUAGAGCACUGAUUGGGCUAGGGGUCCUACCAGAUUACCAAACCCACUCAAACUGCGAAUACCGUUACAGUUAAGCACGGGAGUCAGACUGCGGGAGAUAAGUUCCGUAGUCGAAAGGGAAAGAGCCCAGACCAUCAGCUAAGGUCCCAAAGAUUAUACUAAGUGGAAAACGUUGUGAGGAUGCGUAGACAGCCAGGAGGUUGGCUUAGAAGCAGCCAUCCUUUAAAGAUAGCGUAACAGCUCACUGGUCAAGUGUUCUUGCGCGGAAGAUUUAACGGGGCUUAAGUAUAACACCGAAGCUAUGGACUUAUGAUUUAUCAUGAGUGGUAGAGGAGCAUUGUAGCAACCUGUGAAGAUGUCUGGUGAUGGAUGUUGGAGGAACUACAAGAGCAUAUGCUAGCAUUAGUAGCGAUAAAACAAGUGAGAAACUUGUUCGCCGGAAGCCCAAGGUUUCCUGGGAAAGGGUAAUCCUCCCAGGGUUAGUCGGCACCUAAGGCGAGGCCGAAAGGCGUAGUCGAUGGACAACAGGUUAAUAUUCCUGUACUUGUCAGUGGAGUGAUGCAGGGGUGGAGAAAGGUAGCCAUGCCAGUUAUUGGAUUCUGGUUCAAGCAUGUAGGGAGAUCUUCUUGGUAAGUCCGGAAGGUCGUUAAUCCUGAGAUGUGAUGUGGUGGACUUCGGUCCUGAAGAUGGUGAUCCUAUGCUUACGAGAAAAGCUGCUAAACUUUGAAGCUGACAAACCGUACUGCAAACCGACUCAGGUGGGCAGGGAGAGAAUCCUAAGGCGUUUGAGUUAAACAUGGUUAAGGAACUCGGCAAAUUGACACUGAACCUUCGGAAUAAGGUGUGCCAGCAUUGUGUAGGGACUUGCUCCCGAAGCAUAGUCUGGUUGCAGAGAAGAGGGGGUAGCGACUGUUUAUCAAAAACAUAGCACUACGCAAAAUCGCAAGAUGAAGUAUGUGGUGUGACGCCUGCCCGGUGCUGGAAGGUUAAGAGGAGGGGUUAGUCUUCGGGCGAAGCUCCGAAUUGAAGCCCCAGUAAACGGCGGCCGUAACUAUAACGGUCCUAAGGUAGCGAAAUUCCUUGUCGGGUAAGUUCCGAC
rnacentral:rRNA from 1 species